rnacentral:rRNA from 1 species
CCUACGGGAGGCAGCAGUGAGGAAUAUUGGUCAAUGGGCGUAAGCCUGAACCAGCCAAGUCGCGUGAGGGAUGAAGGACCUAUGGUUCGUAAACCUCUUUUAUAAGGGAAUAAAGUGCGGGACGCGUCCCGCUUCGCAUGUACCUUAUGAAUAAGGAUCGGCUAACUCCGUGCCAGCAGCCGCGGUAAUACCGAGGAUCCGAGCGUUAUCCGGAUUUAUUGGGUUUAAAGGGUGCGUAGGCGGGCUUGUAAGUCAGCGGUGAAAGUCUGGGGCUCAACCCUAGAAUUGCCGUUGAAACUGGGGGGCUUGAGUAUGUGUGAGGCAGGCGGAAUGCGUGGUGUAGCGGUGAAAUGCAUAGAUAUCACGCAGAACCCCGAUUGCGAAGGCAGCCUACCAAGCCAUAACUGACGCUGAUGCACGAAAGCGUGGGUAUCGAACAGGAUUAGAUACCCCAGUAGUC